GUAAUUACGGUCAUUCCUAAUAUUCUUUCUAUCUGUGGUUUUACUAGAGAUAAAAUUUCGACAUAAGUUCCAUCAUCAUCAUCAUCAUCUCAGCCAUAGGACGUCCACUACUGAACAUAGGCCUCCCCCUUAGAUCUCCACAGACACCUGUUGGAGGCGACCUGCAUCCAGCGUCUUCCGGCGACCUUUAUAAGGUCGUCUGUCCACCUUGUUGGUAGACGUCCUACGCUGCGCUUGCUAGUCCGUGGUCUCCACUCCAGCACUUUUCGACCCCAUCGGCCAUCUGCUCUGCGAGCAAUACGGCCUGUCUAUUGCCACUUCAACUUGCUAAUCCGGUGGGCUAUAUCGGUGACUUUAGUUCGUCUACGGAUCUCCUCAUUUUGGAUUCGAUCACGUAGAGAAACACCGAGCAUAGCUCCAUACAAGUAAUGUCAAAUCCCUAUCUCUAGUAAAGAUACAGAUACAUUAGAAAAUUGAGAAUGGCCGAUAGUCGCACUUGUCGAUAUUCGAGACACAAGUAUUUAUAAGUAAUAAAUAAAUAUAAAGAAGGGAUACUAUCGAAUAUACCCAAAGACGCUUUAUGAAGCUUAAGAAUAUAUAUUUUAAUAGAUUUAAGGAAAUAAUAAUUUUAUUUACUAAUGCAGUCAUUUAUGAGACUACAAUUUUCUUUUUUUUUGUCAUAUCAAUAUGUUUUUCUGUUUCUAUAAAAGGAACUGUUAGUAAUUUGUGCCUGUUAUUAAAAAAAAACCAAAGCUGUUUGCAUUUUACGUGCAUUCAUAUUUUUAACAUUAAAUUCGCGUUUUUUACUAUUAUUUGGUUGUAAACUUGUAUACCAAAAACGACCUAAAAUUACUGGUUUAGAAUUUGACAAAACGCUGAACAAUGGAUAUAUAGUUAUUUAUUUAUAUAUAACCACAUCAUCAAGUUUUUGAUUUUUGAAUAUUUUUACUAAUACUUGUGGUGCGCUUCGUUAAUUGUGUAAGUUAUCAGAGUAUCCUGCAGCCCAGUUUAGCAUUUAAAUAUUUAUAAAACACCAAAAUAAUAUUUAUAUCAAACUUUACAUUGUAAGGAUAAACUUAAUUUAACGGUGCAUGUAAGUGUUGUUAUAGUUUUACGGGAUACCAUUACGUUUCUACGUCUGACAUUUUAUAUUAUAAGUACUUAUGAAUUUGUUGCUAUUAUUGUUUUUAUGUGUACAUGUGUAUGGUAUGUAUAGGUAGACAGUGCCUAUUACACUCGUAGAAAAAAGGAUUUACUCUCCCAGUAAAAAAAAAUAUAUGUUCCAAUUUCAAAGUUGAAAAAUAAUGAUAUUGACGUUCAAUUUCAAAGUUGAAAAAUAAUGAUAUUGAUAUGGCACUUUGAUGUUUUAAUUUUUUUUUUCCACUGUCAUAUUUUUUGUUGUAGACUACUUAUGAGGGCCAAAGUUUAAUUAAGAAAGUACACUUUCCUUUUAAGUAAUAUUUGUUUUUUUGUCUAUAUAACUGUACCGUUACCUCUUGAACAACUAAAUAAUGUACAAAUAAAACAUUAUCAUGAUACGUUCGUGCCUUUCACUAUAUUUUAAAUAUUGUUGAUAUAUAGUUAACGUUUAGAGAUGACUGUAUGUGCAAGUAUAUGAUGAAAUAUUAUUAUUAUUGUAUGUUGGUUGAAUAUAAUAAAUAUGCUGUAUAUUGUAUGUGUUGAUCUCUGUCCUUAUUGCAUUUGUCAUGGUUUAUUUUAAUUGUCACGGUUUUUUUUAUUUAAAAUGGUAAUGUGCGUAUCUUAUGGUGUUGUUUUUGGUGUAGGUUAAUGUUUUUUUUGUUUUGUUCACGAGUUUAGUCACUGAUACCAUGUUUGUGGUCCUACUGUGGCGGAUUUUCUUUCAUAAUAUUUAUGCCUGUUUUGAUUUAAAUGUUCAUGUUGUCUUUUUCGAAAUAAAUAGCAUAAAAUUGUAUGUUUAAUUGAACAGUUAAAGGGAACAGUUAUCGGUAAAAUAUUGUAUUCUUUUUUUUUAUUCUGCUCAGCCAGAGACGUCAGUGACUAAAUACGUUUAGAAUGACUUUUUUAUUUGUAAGCAAAGAGGUGUAUUGUUAUAAACGAGGUCGUACUGUGUAUGUUAUGACGAGGUAACGAGAGUUGAGUUGCGGUGGUCUGUUUUGUAUGCGAAGAAACAAUAAUAAAAUUAUACCAAAUAA
rnacentral:lncRNA from 1 species